UGGACUACACGGGUAUCUAAUCCUGUUCGCUCCCCACGCUUUCGUGCCUCAGCGUCAGUUACAGUCUAGGCAGCUGCCUUCGCAAUCGGGGUUCUGGAGGGUAUCUAUGCAUUUCACCGCUACACCCUCCAUUCCGCCGCCCUCGUCUGUACUCAAGCUCUCCAGUUUCCAGGGCAGUUCCGUUGUUGAGCAACGGGCUUUCACCCCGGACUUAAAAGCCGCCUACGCACCCUUUAAACCCAAUAAAUCCGGACAACGCUUGCACCCUCCGUAUUACCGCGGCGGCUGGCACG
rnacentral:misc_RNA from 1 species